AUUUUACUAGUAUAAAUAGUAUGUUUGUUUUCCAAACAAGAGGUUUAAUCUAAUUAAGUAAAGUA
rnacentral:tRNA from 1 species